rnacentral:rRNA from 1 species
AGAUGAUUUCUUCGGAAUGAACUUAAGUGGAUUAGUGGCGAACGGGUGAGUAACACGUGAGUAACCUGCCUUACACAAGGGGAUAGCCUCUGGAAACGGAGAAUAAUACCCUAUAAAGUCUAAUCAGCCCAUGCUGGAAAGACCAAAGAUUUAUCGGUGUAAGAUGGACUUGCGUCUGAUUAGCUAGUUGGUGAGAUAAAAGCUCACCAAGGCGACGAUCAGUAGCCGGCUUGAGAGAGUGUACGGCCACAUUGGGACUGAGACACGGCCCAAACUCCUACGGGAGGCAGCAGUGGGGAAUUUUGCACAAUGGGGGAAACCCUGAUGCAGCGACGCCGCGUGAUUUAGAAGGCCUUCGGGUUGUAAAAAUCUUUUUUACGGGAUGAAAAUGACAGUACCGUAAGAAUAAGGUCCGGCUAAAUACGUGCCAGCAGCCGCGGUAAUACGUAUGGACCGAGCGUUGUCCGGAAUCAUUGGGCGUAAAGGGUACGUAGGCGGCCUAGUAAGUUAGAAGUUAAAGAAUAUAGCUCAACUAUAUAAAGCUUUUAAAACUGCUAGGCUUGAGAGAUGGAAGGGAAAGUGGAAUUCCUAGUGUAGCGGUGAAAUGCGCAGAUAUUAGGAAGAAUACCGGUGGCGAAGGCGACUUUCUGGUCAUCAUCUGACGCUGAGGUACGAAAGCGUGGGUAGCAAACAGGAUUAGAUACCCUGGUAGUCCUACCGCUGUAAACGAUGAGUGUUAGGUUCUUGGAAUAAUCUGGGAGCCGCAGCUAACGCAUUAACACUC